UUAAGCAUAUAACUAAGCGGAGGAAAAGAAACCAAACGGGAUUUCCCUAGUAACGGCGAGCGAAAAGGAAUCCGUCCAGCGCCAAGUCUUGACACUGAGGUGCUCAAGAGAUGCGGCGUUAAUGUGUUGGCGCAUCGUGCGCUGUUCCGCCUUUCAAGUUCCUUUGACAGGGACGUCCAGAGCGGGUGCUAGGCCCAUAGAGAGGCGGAACCAGCGGGCGCCGGCCAACGCAUUCUAGAGUCAGGUUGCUUGAGAGUGCAGCUUAAAGUCGGUGGUAAACUCCAUCYAAGACUAAAUAUGACAGCGAGACCGAUAGCAAACAAGUACCGUGAGGGAAAGUUGCAAAGCACUUUGAAGAGAGAGUUCAACAGUACGUGAAACCACUGACAGGCAAACAGAUGGAACCACGAAGUGUGCGCCUCGCUCGAUUCAAUCAUCGCCGACGGUUGGCCGCGGCGGGCAGGGGUUUCUCGGAAUCCGGUCCGCCGAGGCCGGCAACCGGCGGCGGUGGUGCAUUUCGUGCCGAGGAUGCUAAGCCACGUUCGACCAGACAGUUGGGACGGCCGUAGGAUGGGAACCCGGAAAGGUGCCCGUCAGGUGCUUGCGCCUGGCGGCGUUAUAGUCCGGGAUCGGCACCGUCGCCUAACACACUGGUCGAUGCAAGUUCUCCGCAAGGAGUGAAACCGCAGCUGCCUGCGCCGGCUAGUCGUCGUUUCGGGGCGUUCUUUGCGUGCUCUUCGGUGCGAAAAGACGUUCCAACGAUGGCGGCUAGUCGGCGCUUGCGUGCUGCGGUGGAACUGUGGCGCGAGUAGGUCGGUCUCCAUCUGACCCGUCUUGAAACACGGACCAAGGAGCCUAUCAUGUACGCGAGUCGCUCGGUCUUGUACAGGCCCGGGAGGCGAAAUGAAAGUAAAGUUACGAGGCUUCGGUCGCAGUAACGGCUCGCCCACUUUGUUUGUUGGCAAUCUGGCGAAGCUGGAGCGUAYACGAUGGUACCCGAAAGAUG
rnacentral:rRNA from 1 species